rnacentral:lncRNA from 1 species
UUUUUUCCCUUCUUCUUCCUCUUCUUCCUCUUGUCCCUCUUUUUCUUCAUUUUCUUUUUCUUCUUUUUCUAUCCCACCCUAGUUAUGUGCCCACCACCUACGUGACAUUUCAUCCAUUCGCAUUUUCUACCUCCUAUAGGACGUUGGUAUUGUUCACGAAACGAUAAGCAACUUCUUUUUAUACGGAAGAACAACAGAAAACAAAAAAAAAGAAAAAAAAAAACAUUUUUCGCCACUCUAAAUUAACGCAACCAACGCGAGCGUGAUAUCUGCUGCUGCUGCUGCUGCUGCUACUACUACUACCCCCUCGUACGCAAAGUUCAUUUUUUUUGUUUGUUUGUUUUUUAUUUUAAUUACAAUUAAAAUUCCCAUUAUUAUCGAGUUAUAUAUUACGCAAUUAAAAAUAUAUCAGAGAAUAUAACGUUAACGACGAUGGAUGACAAAUAUUUUCCCAACGAGACGAACGAUUCUCUACCAACAAUAAAAAUUAUAAAUAUAUAAAACAAACUACUCAACGAUCAAGAUAAUCGAGAUAAUGCAAUUUUGCUUUUUUUUUUUUUCAAAUCAAUAAAAUUUACUUUAUAUGCAAGUGAAAUGUCAAUUUAACAAAAGCACGAACUUUUGAUUCACCUUAAUAAUCUCAAGUGAUUUUUCGCAUCACACUAGUUGCAAGGAGGGGAGACGGGGGUGUGUUAGCUUAGGAUUAAAGGGAAAGGUGGCACGGGUAUAUAUGAGAGUGUCCUUGAGAUGAAGGAAACGUCCUCGGCCUCAAACUCCAGUGAUACUGUGCAGCCAUGGUUUGAAAUAAGUGGUCCUCAUAUAAACGCCAGUACCUCGCAUGAAUCCUUCUGACCAUUGGCGUAGCCAGCGCACAAGAAACUUUCCAAUAUUAAUUUCGAAUGUCCUGCCGUUUGGAACAUUUCUUGGCAUACGGAAUUCUCCAUGAUUGGCACUUGGACCUCUUGCAAUACCGACGGUACACCACCGUCUAUAUCAAGGAUUGUUUAUUAACGAAAUGUAUUUUUUAGACGAUUUAACAAGGAAAAAUAAACUAAUGACGGAUUA